UACGGGGGGAGCAAGCGUUGUUCGGAUUUACUGGGCGUAAAGGGCGCGUAGGCGGCCACCGCAAGUCGACUGUGAAAUCUCCGGGCUUAACCCGGAAAGGUCAACCGAUACUGCGGGGCUAGAGUGCAGAAGGGGCAACUGGAAUUCUCGGUGUAGCGGUGAAAUGCGUAGAUAUCGAGAGGAACACCUGCGGCGAAGGCGGGUUGCUGGGCCGAUACUGACGCUGAGGAGCGAAAGCGUGGGGAGCGAACAGG
rnacentral:rRNA from 1 species